rnacentral:rRNA from 1 species
UACGGGGGGGCAAGCGUUGUUCGGAAUUACUGGGCGUAAAGGGCUCGUAGGCGGCCAACUAAGUCGGACGUGAAAUCCCUCGGCUUAACCGGGGAACUGCGUCCGAUACUGGAUGGCUUGAGUAUGGGAGAGGGAUGCGGAAUUCCAGGUGUAGCGGUGAAAUGCGUAGAUAUCUGGAGGAACACCGGUGGCGAAGGCGGCAUCCUGGACCAUUACUGACGCUGAGGAGCGGAAAGC